UACGUAGGGGGCAAGCGUUGGCCGGAAUCAUUGGGCGUAAAGAGCGUGUAGGCGGCCUGGUAAGUCCGCUGUGAAAGUCCAGGGCUCAACCCUGGAAUGCCGGUGGAAACUGUCAGGCUCGAGUCCGGAAGAGGCGAGUGGAAUUCCUGGUGUAGCGGUGAAAUGCGCAGAUAUCAGGAGGAACACCAAGGGCGAAGGCAGCUCGCUGGGACGGUACUGACGCUGAGACGCGAAAGCGUGGGGAGCAAACAGG
rnacentral:rRNA from 1 species